rnacentral:lncRNA from 1 species
AUUAUUAUUGAUUUUUACUUACUUUUAAGGGUUUGACAUGUUUGGAAUAUGUAUUUUUGUGUGCAUGAGCAUAUGUCUGUCUGUGUAUUUGAGGUAAGUGAGGUUAAUUUUUUUACUCAAGUUUUAGGUACAUUAGGUUCCAGGCAAUUCAAGAUAUAUAUUUUUUCUCUUUCUCUUCCCCAACUGCCUCUACUCUCCUAAUACCUGAAUCAUCCACCCCAUACCCAUGUUUGCUUUCUGGUUCUUAUACAACAUAUACUAGAUUUUCAGUCAACAUUUCUAUUUGGUCAUCUUUCAGAAUCAUUCCUCUAGGAGGCUCUACAGAUGUAGAAUACAUAGUUCUUGCUCUCAAAAACCUGGAAAGAUUAAGAGGCUAUCCAACGUCAGAAUAAGCAAAAGCUCAAGGUUGUGAUGUCAGACCUAUUGCAAGAGGAAGGA